rnacentral:rRNA from 1 species
UACAGAGGGGGCAAGCGUUGUUCGGAAUUACUAGGCGUAAAGGGCGCGUAGGCGGCCUGUUAAGUCGAACGUGAAAUCCCCAGGCUCAACCUGGGAACUGCAUCCGAUACUGGAUGGCUUGAAUUCGGGAGAGGGAUGCAGAAUUCCAGGUGUAGCGGUGAAAUGCGUAGAUAUCUGGAGGAAUACCGGUGGCGAAGGCGGCAUCCUGGACCGACAUUGACGCUGAGGAGCGAAAGCCAGGGGAGCAAACGGG